AUUUUUCCUUCCUAUGUUGAAGAAUAUUAUUGAAUUAUCAAACUGACAACACUUCCUGGCACUAGAGCACCAGGACCUGACUUUCCCAGCACUCAUACACAAGACCAGGAGAUAAUUCAGCUGUUCAACAGCCACUCUCUCUUCAUAGAGGCAAAACCAUGUCCUUAACCUCCUUCAGCACGAUAGCACUUCAUAAGAGAACUCUGAAGUUUUGUUGGCCCCAUGGUUUUGGCCCACACUUAUCACGUUGUCUGCAUGGCAUGUCAAAUUAGGAUGCACAGGAUAUCAUCACAUCACAUCCAGAAUAGCUUUGCAAAUUUCAGGGCAUAAAUAGUAUCAGUGCCUCUUUUCCCUUCUUAGGUUUAAGGGGGAAAAUGCAACCAUAGUCCAGAUAUAGUGCAUUUUUUGAGUGGUUAUAUCUGAAUUGUAGAGAGAUUUGGAGGCUUGAAAUAUAUUGUUGUAUUGAAAAUAAAACCCAGCCUGAAAGGUA